GAAACGAUAGCUAAUACCGCAUAAUAUUGAUUAUUGCAUGAUAAUUGAUUGAAAGAUGCUAUUGCAUCACUACCAGAUGGACCUGCGUUGUAUUAGCUAGUAGGUGAGGUAACGGCUCACCUAGGCGACGAUACAUAGCCGACCUGAGAGGGUGAUCGGCCACACUGGGACUGAGACACGGCCCAG
rnacentral:rRNA from 1 species